AGUGAACGUUGGCGGCGUGGAUUAGGCAUGCAAGUCGAGCGAGAACCGUAGCAAUACGGGGACAGCGGCGAAAGGGACAGUAAUGUGUAGGUACCUACCCCCGGGUUCGGGAUAGCUGCGGGAAACUGCAGGUAAUACCGAAUAAUGUCUCCGGACCAAAGGUGUGAUUCCACCUGGGGAGGGGCCUGCAUCCUAUUAGCUUGUUGGUGGGGUAACGGCCUACCAAGGCGACGAGGGGUAGCGGGUGUGAGAGCAUGACCCGCGUCAUUGGGACUGAGCCACUGCCCAGACACCUACGGGUGGCUGCAGUCGAGAAUCUUCGGCAAUGGGCGCAAGCCUGACCGAGCGACGCCGCGUGCGGGAUGAAGGCCUUCGGGUUGUAAACCGCUGUCGUAGAGGAGGAAAUGCAGGGGGGUUCUCCCCUUUGCUUGACCUAUUCUAGGAGGAAGUACGGGCUAAGUUCGUGCCAGCCGCCGCGGUAA
rnacentral:rRNA from 1 species